rnacentral:rRNA from 1 species
CCCGGUAGUGGGGGAUAACGUGGGGAAACCCACGCUAAUACCGCAUACGUCCUACGGGAGAAAGCGGAGGAUCUUCGGACUUCGCGCUAUCGGAUGAGCCUAUGUCGGAUUAGCUAGUUGGUAAGGUAACGGCUUACCAAGGCGACGAUCCGUAGCUGGUCUGAGAGGAUGAUCAGCCACACUGGGAAUGAGACACGCCCCAGACUCCUACGGGAGGCAGCAGUGGGGAAUAUUGGACAAUGGGCGAAAGCCUGAUCCAGCCAUGCCGCGUGUGUGAAGAAGGCUUUCGGGUUGUAAAGCACUUUCAGCGAGGAAGAAGGCCUCUGGGUUAAUACCCCAGAGGAAGGACAUCACUCGCAGAAGAAGCACCGGCUAACUCCGUGCCAGCAGCCGCGGUAAUACGGAGGGUGCGAGCGUUAAUCGGAAUUACUGGGCGUAAAGCGCGCGUAGGUGGCUUGGCACGCCGGUUGUGAAAGCCCCGGGCUCAACCUGGGAACGGCAUCCGGAACGGCCAGGCUAGAGUGCAGGAGAGGAAGGUAGAAUUCCCGGUGUAGCGGUGAAAUGCGUAGAGAUCGGGAGGAAUACCAGUGGCGAAGGCGGCCUUCUGGCCUGACACUGACACUGAGGUGCGAAAGCGUGGGUAGCAAACAGGAUUAGAUACCCUGGUAGUCCACGCCGUAAACGAUGUCGACUAGCCGUUGGGACCUUUAAGGACUUAGUGGCGCAGUUAACGCGAUAAGUCGACCGCCUGGGGAGUACGGCCGCAAGGUUAAAACUCAAAUGAAUUGACGGGGGCCCGCACAAGCGGUGGAGCAUGUGGUUUAAUUCGAUGCAACGCGAAGAACCUUACCUACCCUUGACAUCCAGAGAACUUUCCAGAGAUGGAUUGGUGCCUUCGGGAACUCUGAAACAAGUGCUGCAUGGCUGUCCUCAGCUCGUGUUGUGAAAUGUUGGGUUAAGUCCCCUAACAAGCGCAACCCUUGUCCUUAUUUGCCAGCGAUUCGGUCGGGAACUCUAAGGAGACUGCCGGUGACAAACCGGAGGAAGGUGGGGACGACGUCAAGUCAUCAUGGCCCUUACGGGUAGGGCUACAC